GUGUGUUUAGCUCCCAAAUGCACUCAUUCUACUACAUAGCCUGAUCUUAACAUGACUUGUAAAGAAACCUUCAACAUUACAAAAACCUAUUCUCCAUUGCCCUUUUGUUUUCUCCUUGAUCUGCUGUAUAAUCUGGAAGGUGGAGAAGGUGAGAACUCAAAUGGAAGUGGUGGAAGCUCCAUCUCCCCCUUCAAAAUCUUAACAAUAUCUCCAAUAUCUGGCCUCAACUCUGGAAUUUUCUGUAAACAACUGAGUGCCAAGUUGAUGCAAAGGCUUGCUUGUUCCUUGUUGUAAUUGUCUUCUUUCAAUUUCUCAUCAACUAGUUCUAAAAUGUUGUUACCACCAGCCUGAGCCAAGUGUCUACACCAGCUUAUUAAAUUAGCUUUCUCUAGCUUCAUAGGAGAUGCAAGAACAUGCAAUGGUCUUCUACCUGAUACAAUUACAAGAAUCAAAACUCCAAAACUGUAUAUAUCAGCUUUCUCCAUUAAGAAUCCACACCCUCCAUAUUCUGGUGCUACAUAACACAAUGUCCCUCUCAUGCUAGUUGUGCUGCUUAGUUCGCGGCUGAAAAGAUCGCCACUCCACAUAUCACUUCCAAUCGAACGUGAGCUUUUUUUCCUCCAACCUCUUCUGAAGCUAAACUCACCAUUUUGUUCACACUCAUUCUGUCCUUCCUCUCCAUAGUUCUUACUACGUUGGCAAAGAUAGAACCUUCUACCUAAACCAAAAUGUGGCACUUUCAAGCCUUUCUUCCAUUUAGUUUGAAGACUUUUAAGCUUAUUCGACUUUUUCUUGCUUAAUUCAGCAAUAUGUUCUUCUUUCCACCACUCUUGCAUCUUCCUAUUCUUCUUCUUCUUGUGGUUUUUCUUUCCCUUCAGUUCUUUCAUAUCAACAACUUUAUUAUCUGCAUUUUCCAUCACAGAUACUUGUAGUAAUUGUGUUCCAUUUGCAUCACUGGCUUUAUCAAUUGGACUUGAAUUUUCCAACUCUGACUUCUCCUGAAUGUUGUUGAUCUUAGCACUGCCAAUACCAUCAUCCCAAUCAGCAUUUGAUGGACAAAUUUGACUCCCAAUCCAUUCCUUGACAUAGUCUUUACUACAUAAUUCACCACUUCCAUCUUGUCUCCACCACCAAUCUUCUCCCCAUUGUUUCCCAUUUUCCUUCUCUUCAUCAACCAAAUAAGCAUCCUUACUAUAAUCAGUGCUACAGAACUCAUCAUCAUAAGGAACAAACUUAUUAGUAUUCCAACAAUCAUCCCCUCCUCCACCUCCUCCUGUAUCCAAACUUGAAAUUUCCUUACCCUUUGCAUUUACAUUCCUACUUUCACUUUCACCAACAAUAUUUGCAUUAUAAUUCAAAGAGUUCAAGUUCAAUGCUUUAACAUUUAAACAACUCCUACUAUUUUUGGAUGAAGUAGAAGCUUGCAAAGCAAGAGCAAAAUCAACUUCACUCACACUCUCAACAGGAGUGCCAAUUACAGGAGUUUCUGCAGUCAAAUUACCUGAAAGGUCUUGACUCUUCCAAAGAUCCUGGCUCUUCCCCAAAUCCUGGCUAAACAAGUCAACUCCAAAUUCACCCUCCACCUUAAUCCUUGACAAACCAAAGUCCGAGAUCUUCCCGCGAAACUCAGCAUCAAGCAACACAUUACUUGGCUUAAUAUCACCAUGAAUCACAGGUGGAUCACAUCCAAGGUGCAAAAACUCCAAUGCUCUAGCAACAUCCAUAAUUAUACAAAACCUUCUCUCCCAACUCAAACCAAAACACUCAUCACCAAAAAGUGACUCUUGCAAGCUUGUAUUAGGCAUAUACUCAUAAACCAAAACCCUCUUAUUCUUUUCAACACAAUAGCCCAAAAGGGUCACCAGAAAAGGUGAUCUCAACCCUCCAAGAAUCUGCAACUCAUUUUGAAACUCUCUCUCUGAUUGCAAAGACAAAGAGUCCAACCUUUUGAUGGCAAUGAAUUUUCCAUCUUUCAGUACUCCCUUGAAAACAGUACCAGAACCACCUUUGCCAAUUAUAUUAGCAGUGUCAAAAACAUUGGUAGCAACCUUUAACUCUUUGUAAGAAAAUCUUUGUAGCUUCAAAGGAGAACUUGCAUCAAAAGGAAUGGUCUUAGCUCUAUGUACAAGAGAAAGCCAAAGAUGAUAAAGGAAGUAAAGUAUUGAGAAGAAGAUGACAACAGAAGCUGAAAUGGUUAGUGCUAUGAAAAGAAACUUUGGUUUGGUGAAAAUAUUGGAAGUUGUAGAAGUUAAUUGUCUUGAAGGCAUGGUGUUAUGUGAUGUGAAUGAAUGAAUAUUGAUGAUCAAAAAGAAGAAGAUGAAGACUAUGGUUUUUUGAUUACUUUAAUGAAUUUGGUAUCCAAAGUGGAUUGCUUUACAAUUAGAUAAUCAUUAGAGGAGGAGGAGCUGUAUUCUACUAUUGUUAAAUAUGUUUUCAGUUUUUUUUCUUCUUUUCCUUGAUUUAUGGUUUCCAUCACCAACUAUUUUACUUUAUUCAUAUAAUGGAAUGAGAUUAAUAUUGGCAAUUGGGAUAUGAGGAUUAGAAAAAGGAAAGAAAGGGAUGGACCCAAGCUAAG
rnacentral:lncRNA from 1 species